rnacentral:rRNA from 1 species
UGGGGAAUUUUGGACAAUGGGGCGAAAGCCUGAUCCAGCAAUGCCGCGUGUGUGAAGAAGGCCUUCGGGUUGUAAAGCACUUUUGUCCGGAAAGAAAUCCUUGGCUCUAAUACAGUCGGGGGAUGACGGUACCGGAAGAAUAAGCACCGGCUAACUACGUGCCAGCAGCCGCGGUAAUACGUAGGGUGCAAGCGUUAAUCGGAAUUACUGGGCGUAAAGCGUGCGCAGGCGGUUUGUAAGACGGAUGUGAAAUCCCGGGCUUAACCUGGGAACUGCAUUCGUGACUGCAAGGCUAGAGUAUGGCAGAGGGGGGUAGAAUUCCACGUGUAGCAGUGAAAUGCGUAGAGAUGUGGAGGAAUACCGAUGGCGAAGGCAGCCCCCUGGGCCAAUACUGACGCUCAUGCAUGAAAGCGUGGGGAGCAAACAGGAUUCAGAUACCCUGGUAGUCCACGCCCUAAACGAUGUCAACUAGUUGUUGGGGAUUCAUUUCCUUAGUAACGUAGCUAACGCGUGAAGUUGACCGCCUGGGGAGUACGGUCGCAAGAUUAAAACUCAAAUGAAUUGACGGGG